UACAAAAGAGGAAAAUGUAAUUAAUGAACCAGUAAUUUCGGAGUGAUCAUCUUUUCUCUUCCUUAGCUCACAGAUAUUUGCUGCUAUCUGUUUUACGCUUUCACAAUAACUUCCAUUUGCAUCACUCUUUACAUGACUACAUCUGAGAGAAGUGUACGCUUUCUUUAGCUUGCCCAUGGUGAUGUGAAGAUGAGAAGAAAUAGCAAGGCCCAACCAGUUCUUCAUCUGGAGACAGUUCAACGUUCUGCAAACCAGGAGCUCUUUCUGAGAUGAAGAGAAUUCUCAAUGUCAAGAUUUGAACAAGAAGAGAAUGGAAUACACAAUAUGGACAUCCAUAAAAAUUCAUCAGAGAGCAUUUUACUACUGAGCUGCAAAGGUAGGAAAAAUAAAUUUUUUUUGGUUAGAAAAUAUACUUCUUUCAUCUGCGUUUCAAUAAUUUAUUCCCCUUGUUAGAUAUACAUGGAAUUGAUAUUGCUUAUUCUGACUAAGUGAAAAGUGUUAUUUCUACUUACUGCUCAAUUAGAAACAUGUAGUGUUUAAUUGUCAGUUUGAAUUUUUCUUUCAUACUAUUACAGUUUAUAUUUUACUAUAGGCAGAAUUUCCUCUUUAUCCUAAAUUUUGAUAUUCUCCAUAAUUUCAUCGUGCCUUGACAUUGCUGUAUAUAAUUUCUAUACAUCAGGAAGGCAAUUCUGUGUGCAUGUGUGUGUGUAUAUAUAUAGUUAGAAGUUAGAAACUGAAACUCUUUUUUGUCUACCAUCAUUUCAUAUUUUUCUUGCUAUUUCAAACCUAUAAUUUUUAAAGAAACGACUAACGUAAUCAUUCAUAGAAUAUGCUGUCAGUAACUUAACAAUAUAAAUGUUAACAUGGAGGCAUUUAGUUCAGCAUUUGCUUUACUUAAUAGAGUGCAGAAAAUGUGGCCCUUUUCUCAGUUAGGGUGUAUGUGAAGAUAAAUUUAGAAUUUCUAGACUAGUAAAUACUUCUCUGAUAAUAACUUAAUUAUAGCUAUUUCAAACCAAAUUGUUUAAUUGUGGUGAAUCAUAUGUAAAUUGUUCAGAUGUAGGUCAACACCCACGCCCACAUUCUAGCACCUCUUUCCUAAUUCAAGACAACUUUGCAGUGCCUAAAAGAGCUGAACAGUGCAGAUUAGAGACAUAAGA
rnacentral:lncRNA from 1 species